ensembl:lncRNA
AAUAACUAAAUUUUUGACAGCUUUAUACCAGGUUGUGUUUUUUGGCUCAUUAAGGUUAACAACAUAGCUAGAAGUUGCAGAGGAUUGAAAAUAAGCAGUAAUAACAAAUGUGAAGUGUUUGUCUGUAUAUGAUGUUGGUACAAAUGUUUGGUCAUUGUCAGGGUGGGUGCGUGCGUGCAGAAGGAAAACUCGGGGCUCAGGUGCAGGCUCAGGUGCAGGUUGUGUAUAGUUUCACACAGGAGAUAGAAACGACCAGAAGCAUAACAAAAAGUGGGCUUCGGCCCAAAACAAUGGCAAAACGAGAAUGAGGCUAACGUGACUAAGAAACACUGAAUGAAAGAAACAAAAAACUGGAGGACAUAGAGCACCUAAUACACUAUUAUGUGUGGAAGACACAGGGUACCCACUGGUCAUGGAAUUUCUGGAAUAUCAUGGGAUUUUAAAAAGUAUAUUCCAGACAUGGAGAGUCAGGGUUAAAACUUUAGUUUCCAUUCAAGAAAAUGAAUCUUCCAUGCAGUAUUCUUCUUUAUCUGGUUAUUUCCAGUAUUGCGUAUUGUUAUGGUUAGGCUACUAAAUUUUAUUGUCCAUUCAUCCCCUUCACCCUCGUCAACUGGCAAUCCCUUCAGUCAAGAUAUGCUGUCUCCUGUACCUGCUAAUGAAGGCAAACAUGCCAGGAAAAUGUACAUUAUAUAUUGUCUACAUAAUGAAGACUUCAAAGACUGGGUAUUAAAAGUAGAUGACAGCAGUUACAGUUAAAUGUAAAGUUUGUAAAACAACUACUGAUCUAUCCAAUAUGGGAGAGGGAGCACUUCGCAGCCACACAAACAGUAAGAAGCAUGUUACCCGAAUGAAGCCGACAGGAGCAUCAUCUUAAUGGUGAUCAUAAUUGUGCAUUAUACCGAUCAGCCAUAACAUUAUGACCACCUGCCUAAUAUUGUGUAGGUCCCCUUUUUUCCACCAAAACAGCCCUGACCCAUCGAGGCAUGGACUCCACUAGACCUGAAAGUGUGCUGUGGUAUCUGGCACCAAGACAUUAGCAGCAGAUCCUUUAAGUCCUGUAAGUUGUGAGGUGGGGCCUCUAUGGAUCGGACCUGUUUGUCCAGCACAUCCCACAGAUGCUUGAUUGGAUUUGGAGGCCAGGUCAAUACCUUGCAUUGCAGUGUUCCUUAAACCAUUCCUGAAUUUUUUUUCUUUGUGGCAGGGUACAUUAUCCUGUUUAAAGAGGCCAAUGCCAUCAGGGAAUACCGUUGCCAUGAAAGUGUGCACAUGGUCUGCAACAAUGCUUAAGUAGGUGGUACGUGUCAAAGUAACAAGCACAUGAAUGGCAGGACCCAAGGUUUCCCAGCAGAACAUUGCCCAAAGCAUCACACUGCCUCCGCCGGCUUGCCUUCUUCCCAUGGUCCAUAUUGGUGCCAUGUUUUCUCCAGGUGUGGUGAACUUAGAUGCCAAGGUUUUAAAGGAAAAGACCAUUUGACUUUUUAAUGCACUUAGUGCACUAAGUGUAGCAGCUUCCUUAAAAACUGUGUAGGAAUGGAAAGCAUGGGUAACAUCCAUGCGACAGAGGAAACUCUUCCGUUGAGAAUGUUUUUACCCAUGACAGUGUGGAAUCUGAGCAUUAACAAUUACAAUAUGAAUGUACAUUUCAUUGGAAGUGCAUGUGCCUAGGUAAGGAGAACAACAGAAACCUCUCUGUUUAGAUUAUCUCUCUGUAACAGAAACCUCUCUGUUUAUCUCUCUGUAGGUAUGUUUAUAAUGGUCAUAUGGCAUGGGGGUUGACUUCUAAAGACAUGGUCUUAGUUAGAAACGCCCUUAAUGUAUAGGCUAGCUGUUAACCAACAUUGCAGUGAGAAGGUAAUGGAAUGUUCACCGAAUGACAUCUGUGCUGCAAUUUUCCAAUAAACGUGAGCGAACUUCUCCCUCGAUUUGAUACGGGUUCUACAUUAUUUGACCACUAUACGAAACCGCAGAUUUCUAACAAUAGUGACUCAACUGGUCCUUUUCUAGAGGGACGCAAAAAGAACAACAAAAAAGACAGAAAAAAUGCAGGAGGGGCAAGCUGUGACGACUGCGCCCUCUGCUGCCUCUCCUCCCCCUGCAGCAGACAGGCUCCAGCGGUCGACGUCACCGGUCUUCUAACACCACCGCCCAUCUCAUUUACGCAUUUCAACUGUUGUCUUGUUUAGCGCACCUGGUCCUCAUUCUAAUCAUUCCCCCCAGUAUAUAUGUUCCCUCUGCUUCCCCUGUCCUUGUGUGUUAUUGUCUAGCCUACCCAGAGCAUUAUCAGGCUACGCCACUAUUGUCACUAUUAAAACACAGUUCAAC